UUAAUUUGAAAGCCAUUAUUUAUUUCUUUACCGGAAGUUAGACCCAGCGUCCAAUUUCGUUCCACGGCACAUCCGCUGAGCAACAGCACAGCACAGCAGAAGUACAUUUUUGUGUUUUUUGUAUUUCUGAGCACAGCAGUAAACAUUUUAAUAAACUCCUACGUCUUUCCUACAUCGGCAUCAGUUACUCUAAUGACAUCUGGUGUCCCAAAGGGUGAGAACUGCCUUGUAGACAUGGACUCCAAGGCAGGGGAUCUCUUCAGUGCUGAGCCAGCCGACGCUGCUGGAUCCGGAGGUGUCGUGGGAAACCUACCACUAAAGGAACUAGAUGGUUUACCACCCUGGCUUUCUGCCUUGCCUCACAGGCUGUGGCUGCCCAAAGGCCUCUCGGCCAGUGUGGCCAAGGAGUGGUUUGAUCGUCGCCGUGCGUCAAUCCGUCCCUGGGCUGGUUUCGUGGAUCAUAGGAAGUUCACCAAGCCCCGCAACUUUGGUGAACUGUGCCAGAGGGUGGUGCGCAAUUUUGACACCUACAACAGCAACUACACCUUCAUCUUCCUCGGCCUCAUCCUCUACUGCAUUGUCAGCUCUCCCAUGCUGCUGGUUGCUUUGGCAGUGUUUGUUGGUGCCUUCUACAUCAUCCACCUCAAGUCCCUGGAGUCUAAACUGGUCGUCUUUGGAAAAGAGGUGACCGGACCUCACCAAUUGGGUCUGGCUGGGGCGGUCUCUUUACCUGUGUUCUGGUUGGCUGGUGCAGGAGCUGCAGUGUUUUGGGUCCUGGGGUGAAGUUGAUCGUUUCAUAACGAGGAAUCACUUUUGCGAGGCACACUGUGGAGAAAAGAAGAAUGAAUGCCUUCCAAACGGUCAAAACCAUUCGACUUUGAGAUGGGGGUGAUAUCCAAAGUUGAGCGACGAUGUUUGUGAUUGGCUCUCACGCUGCCUUCCGAGAGCUGGAGGGAGGAUCGGAAAUGGAGGAGCUCUUCGUGGAGCCUGUGUGAAGGCAUAGCGAUAGAGGGAUCUUUAUAUCUGUGCCAUUAUAGCAUCUGUGAGCAUUGGCAGUGCCAUUGAGGCUACAACUAUUAGGGAAUCCCCACACGGGUGAUUACUUUAAAAUGGCAGAAGCAUGGUGGAAGCCCUCAAUGGUGCUGCCCAUGCUAAAGCAGCCUUUUGGCCACUAGAGGCCUCUAUCUUUCUCUGUGUGAACCCUCAACACUCACCUUUGACCUUUCAUAAUAUAACACAGAAUGCACCUUCUCUUGCCUCUGAAGUGAUUUGCUGUUACUGACCCUCUACAACUCUUUUAAAACCACAAUAAUACUCGAUUUAGACAUAUAUAUGGAUUGACUGUCAUACACACAGAGUGACUGAGAUGUUCAUAUACCUCAGCUCAUACUUCAUACUGUAUGUCUUUUCCAAAUGUGACUGAUACCUCUCGAUUUGUGUUUAAUACACAUUUCUUCCCGUGAAGUAUCAGUCAGCCCUUUGUUUAAUGCCUCUGUACCUUCUGUUUAAUGUUACCUUGUGGAUAUCUAAUAAUAAAUCAUGUCAACUCAAGACCUGAAAUGUUAAAAAGAGCUUUAACAUCGCAUUAAAAAUAAAAACAACUAUAUAGCUGAUGUUUAAUUAGUCCACAAUGAGCACAUGAGCAACUGGAUGAGGCAAGUGGCAUCAAAUUGCCAACGCUUCUCUGACUGGGGAAGAAGUGCCAUUUGCAGCUUUACAAUGUAUUUAUCCAACUAGGAGAAAUGGUUCUUUUAGACAAAUUGCAUUUAUUUUAAAGCAAUGCUUAGUGGAUAUCCCAGAUACCUAAUGGUGAUAAAGCAUCAUGUUUAAAUCCUACUGUUAGUUGUAUGCAGGCAUGUGGUGCAGUGUUGUUGGGUCAUUUUUCAUAAUUGAUUAGCUCUGCUUUAUUACUUUGAGAAUUUAAAUGUCAAUAUUAUUAUUUUUUAAUAUAUGUCAUACUUGUCAUGCUAUUUUUUUAAACAUUUUUUUAAUGACAAUUGGGAAGUGCAAUAAACAAUCCUACCCGUAA